rnacentral:tRNA from 1 species
GCCUUCUUAGCUCAAUGGUAGACGCGUGGCUUUUAACCACUUGGUCGUGGGUUCGAUCGCAACAGACGGCG